rnacentral:tRNA from 1 species
GGGGAUAUAGCUCAGUUGAUAGAGUGUUUGCCUUUUAAGCAUAAGCCCCUGGGUUCAAUCCCUGGUACUGCCA